AGCCAGAAUAGUGUAGUGGUUUGAGCACUGGACUAUGACUCUGGAAAUCAGGGUUCGAUUCCUAGUUUGGCUA